rnacentral:rRNA from 1 species
UACGUAGGAGGCAAGCGUUGUCCGGAGUUACUGGGCGUAAAGCGCACGCAGGCGGUCUUGUCAGUCUGUAGGGACAGGGCACAGCUCAACUGUGUCAGGCUUACGGAAACUGCAAGACUUGAGGGCUUCAGAGGGAUGGGGAAUUCCGGGUGGAGUGGUGAAAUGCGUAGAGAUCCGGAAGAACACCAAAGGCGAAGGCACCAUCCUGGGGAGUCACUGACGCUCGGGUGCGAAAGCUAGGGGAGCGAACGGG